UGCCAGCCGCCGCGGUAAUACGGAGGGUGCAAGCGUUGUUCGGAAUUAUUGGGCGUAAAGCGCGUGUAGGCGGUUCGUUAAGUCUGAUGUGAAAGCCCGGGGCUCAACCCCGGAAGUGCAUUGGAAACUGGCGAACUUGAGUACGGGAGAGGAAAGUGGAAUUCCGAGUGUAGGGGUGAAAUCCGUAGAUAUUCGGAGGAACACCAGUGGCGAAGGCGGCUUUCUGGACCGGAACUGACGCUGAUGAACGAAAGCUAGGGUAUCAAACGGGAUUAGAUA
rnacentral:rRNA from 1 species